rnacentral:rRNA from 1 species
GGGAUGGACGCACCGCUGGUGUACCAGUUGUUCUGCCAAGGGCAUCGCUGGGUAGCUAUGUGCGGACGGGAUAAGUGCUGAAAGCAUCUAAGCAUGAAGCCCCCCUCAAGAUGAGAUUUCCCAUAGCGCAAGCUAGUAAGAACCCUGAAAGAUGAUCAGGUUGAUAGGUCAGAGGUGGAAGCGUGGCGACAUGUGGAGCUGACUGAUACUAAUCGUUCGAGGACUUAACCAA